rnacentral:rRNA from 1 species
AUUGAACGCUGGCGGCAGGCCUAACACAUGCAAGUCGAGCGGAUGAAGGGAGCUUGCUCCUGGAUUCAGCGGCGGACGGGUGAGUAAUGCCUAGGAAUCUGCCUGGUAGUGGGGGAUAACGUCCGGAAACGGGCGCUAAUACCGCAUACGUCCUGAGGGAGAAAGUGGGGGAGCUUCGGACCUCACGCUAUCAGAUGAGCCUAGGUCGGAUUAGCUAGUUGGUGGGGUAAAGGCCUACCAAGGCGACGAUCCGUAACUGGUCUGAGAGGAUGAUCAGUCACCCUGGAACUGAGACACGGUCCAUACUCCUACGGGAGGCAGCAGUGGGGAAUAUUGGGCAGUGGGCGAAAGCCUUAUCCAGCCAUGCCGCGUGUGUGAAGAAGGUCUUCGGAUUGUAAAGCACUUUAAGUUGGGAGGAAGGGCAGUAAGUUAAUACCUUGCUGUUUUGACGUUACCAACAGAAUAAGCACCGGCUAACUUCGUG